rnacentral:rRNA from 2 species
AGCUUGCUCUUUGGGUGGCGAGUGGCGGACGGGUGAGGAAUACAUCGGAAUCUACUUUUUCGUGGGGGAUAACGUAGGGAAACUUACGCUAAUACCGCAUACGACCUACGGGUGAAAGCAGGGGACCUUCGGGCCUUGCGCGAUUGAAUGAGCCGAUGUCGGAUUAGCUAGUUGGCGGGGUAAAGGCCCACCAAGGCGACGAUCCGUAGCUGGUCUGAGAGGAUGAUCAGCCACACUGGAACUGAGACACGGUCCAGACUCCUACGGGAGGCAGCAGUGGGGAAUAUUGGACAAUGGGCGCAAGCCUGAUCCAGCCAUACCGCGUGGGUGAAGAAGGCCUUCGGGUUGUAAAGCCCUUUUGUUGGGAAAGAAAUCCAGCUGGCUAAUACCCGGUUGGGAUGACGGUACCCAAAGAAUAAGCACCGGCUAACUUCGUGCCAGCAGCCGCGGUAAUACGAAGGGUGCAAGCGUUACUCGGAAUUACUGGGCGUAAAGCGUGCGUAGGUGGUCGUUUAAGUCCGUUGUGAAAGCCCUGGGCUCAACCUGGGAACUGCAGUGGAUACUGGGCGACUAGAGUGUGGUAGAGGGGUAGCGGAAUUCCUGGUGUAGCAGUGAAUGCG